CCUCAUCCAGGGAUUGAGCCAGGGGACUUUCUGCAAAUCAAGCAGAAAGUGCCAACUUGCAACCCAUCCAAGAUAACGGUAAUGGCAGAAUGAUUUUCAAGGGAUGGAAUUCAGGAGCAGGGCUCACUGUUGCCUGAAAAUGGGGCACGACUUCCUCUGCAGAAGAAAAAUUGCAAGGAAGAAGGAACCUGGAGCAGGACUUGACAUGUACCUGAUCAGCUGGUCUGCUGUGAUGUCAUGGAACCUUCACAAUUCAGCGGGGAAGCCAUCACACAAGGACAAUGGUGGCUCUCAGUCUUCCUCAUCAUUGGAGGACAUUCUGCAAACAAUGACAAGCAGGGUAGACCGGUACCCCAAAGUGCUUGGCUGUGGGUCAGAUGCACUUGGUGGGGCUGGUGGUGUCUCACUGAGAAACAUGGCGAUGGGCAGCUGGCGCUUUUGUCUUUUCCGCUGGUCAGGGCGCACUUGGUGUCUCCUCAGCUGGUCAGGGCAUGCUUGGGCAGCCUCCUGGUCCACGGAUGCAGCUUCAACAUGGUCGCCAAUGUUCUUCAGAUUGACACAUCAUUUGAAUCUGGCUCAGAACUCCUUUGCAGGCUGCUUGAAGCGUGCAUACAGCCUGAGAGUCUUCUUGCGCAAAGUACUGCCGUCAAUGGGGAUACGCUGGAGAGUCAUGUCCUCUAGCCACAGGUUCAGGGCCUCAUGUGCCUUCCUCAUGGCCUCGUCUUGCACGUACCUGGGGACCUUGGCAGUUGUAGGUGUACUUGCUGCCACUGAUGCCCGGAUUUAUUUCUCCCAUAUCUUGGUGGCACCUAUGCUGGAUUCAUUCCUGCCAAACUUGUGUGCCACAGCACAAACGCUCAUGCCAUCCUGUAAACAGU